UACGUAGGGUGCGAGCGUUGUCCGGAAUUAUUGGGCGUAAAGGGCUCGUAGGCGGUCUGUCACGUCGGGAGUGAAAACUCAGGGCUUAACCCUGAGCCUGCUUCCGAUACGGGCAGACUAGAGGUAUGCAGGGGAGAAUGGAAUUCCUGGUGUAGCGGUGAAAUGCGCAGAUAUCAGGAGGAACACCAGUGGCGAAGGCGGUUCUCUGGGCAUUACCUGACGUGAGGAGCGAAAGUGUGGGGAGUGAACAGG
rnacentral:rRNA from 1 species